CGUGUAGGCGGAUCGGCAAGUCGGGCGUGAAAUCCCCAGGCUCAACCUGGGAACUGCACUCGAAACUGCCUUUCUCGAGUACCGGAGAGGAAAGCGGAAUACCUGGUGUAGAGGUGAAAUUCGUAGAUAUCAGGUGGAACACCAGUGGCGAAGGCGGCUUUCUGGACGGUAACUGACGCUGAGACGCGAAAGCGUGGGGAGCAAACA
rnacentral:rRNA from 1 species